CGCGGGAUGGAGCAGCGGCAGCUCGUCGGGCUCAUAACCCGAAGGUCGUGGGUUCGAAUCCCACUCCCGCAA
rnacentral:tRNA from 1 species